rnacentral:misc_RNA from 1 species
GAUGAAGAACGUAGCAAAAUGCGAUAAGUAAUGUGAAUUGCAGAAUUCAGUGAAUCAUCGAAUCUUUGAACGCUCAUUGCGCCCGCUGGUAUUCCGGCGGGCAUGCCUGUUCGAGCGUCAUUUCAACCCUCAAACCCCCGGGUUUGGUGUUGGGGAUCGGCUCUGCCUCACGGCGGUGCCGCCCCCGAAAUACAUUGGCGGUCUCGCUGCAGCCUCCAUUGCGUAGUAGCUAACACCUCGCAACUGGAACGCGGCGCGGCCAUGCCGUAAAACCCCAACUUCUGAAUGUUGACCUCGGAUCAGGUAGGAAUACCCGCUGAACUUAAGCAUAUCAAUAAGCGGAGGA